rnacentral:rRNA from 1 species
UGCGGGGGGGGGGGGCAAGCGUUGCUCGGAAUUACUGGGCGUAAAGGGCUCGUAGGCGGCCAACUAAGUCAUACGUGAAAUCCCUCGGCUUAACCGGGGAACUGCGUCUGAUACUGGAUGGCUUGAGUUCGGGAGAGGGAUGCGGAAUUCCAGGUGUAGCGGUGAAAUGCGUAGAUAUCUGGAGGAACACCGGUGGCGAAGGCGGCAUCCUGGACCGAUACUGACGCUGAGGAGCGAAAGCCAGGGGAGCAAACGGG